UACGAAGGUGGCAAGCGUUGUUCGGAUUUACUGGGCGUACAGGGAGCGUAGGCGGUUGGAUAAGCCCUCCGUGAAAUCUCCAGGCUUAACCUGGAAAGUGCAGAGGGGACUGUUCAGCUAGAGGAUGGGAGAGGAGCGCGGAAUUCCCGGUGUAGCGGUGAAAUGCGUAGAGAUCGGGAGGAAGGCCGGUGACGAAGGCGGCGCUCUGGAACAUUUCUGACGCUGAGGCUCGAAAGCGUGGGGAGCAAACAGG
rnacentral:rRNA from 1 species